UAUCCCACCUAACGCCCUGCAUCUUCUCAAGGGUGCUAGCACCACCCUGUAUCCAAAAAUCAGAUCACAAAAAUGCCCUCCCGCAUCUCUCUCUCUCUAGAUUUCUGGGACACCGGACGACUCCUUUUCUUUUUAAUAUCUGAAAUGGAAACUAACUACUGGGCAAUUGAAACUAGAGAGAAAGUGGGAUGAACUGACCUGUGAGAGAGGCUGAACUUACCCAUCUUGUAAGGAGAAAACAGAGAGGUCCCUUUUUCAGCCGUUGUCCUUCCUUUCUUCCCCUAUCUCUCUCUCUCUCUCUCUCUCUCUGUCAGCGGCUGUAGUUUUUCUCUCCCUCUUUCUCGGUCUCCGUUUCUACAAAAGGAUUGAUUCCAUCCCUACGAUUAAGUUUUUACAGAUAUAUGAUGGUAAUAGAUGCUGUUUUCGGGUAUAUGGGGGUGUGCUUUAGAGAAAUCUUGACUAACAACGAAUGUUCUUUGCUGUUUUAUCAGCAAUGAGUGGUGAUGGAUUAACAUGUUUUGUUCUUGUUUUUAUUUUUAUUUAGAUCCUCAUUUAAAAAUUUAAAUAAGGCUGAGUGAUAACACCAUAUCUUUUAAGUUUAGUUAAGUGUGGAUCCUAAAUAUAUACAAGUCUAGUGAAUUAUCAAAUUCAACAUCUUUCGGUUUAGCCAAAUAUUGAGACCAUAUACAUAUAGACAUGUUUUUUCUUUGAUAAAGUCAUACAUAUUUUUCCUUUGAUAAGUCAAAGAUGUUUUUCUCUUUAACAAGUCAGAGAUAUUUUUUGUUUUUUGACACAUUAGAGGAUUGAAUGUUAUCAACCAAAAAGAACCUUUUAGUCCUUCCCUCGAUAAAAAAAAAAAAAAAAAAGAGAUAAGAAGCAUGGGC